rnacentral:rRNA from 1 species
UACGGAGGGGGCUAGCGUUGUUCGGAAUUACUGGGCGUAAAGCGCGCGUAGGCGGACCUGCAAGUCGCGUGUGAAAGCCCCCGGCUCAACUGGGGAGGGUCACGCGAUACUGUUCGACUCGAAGGCAGGAGAGGGAAGCGGAAUUCCCGGUGUAGUGGUGAAAUGCGUAGAUAUCGGGAGGAACACCAGUGGCGAAGGCGGCUUCCUGGCCUGUUCUUGACGCUGAGGCGCGAAAGCUAGGGUAGCAAACGGG